AACGCCUACAGAAAAGUUGGACCCCAAAAAUUUACUGUGGGACCCCUGUCGCGAACUCGCAUGGCUGCAGUAUUUGUGACCCCAAGAUGCAGGAACCAGGCGAAUGAUGAGCAGCCCUGAUGGCCUUUCUUCUCCUUCCACGGUGAGGCCCAGCAACUCGAUAAUUUGCAGCAUGUCGUCCUGCAAAUCUUCAGCAGCCAAUUAUGAAAAUUUCACAGGCGCUUGGACACGGCUGUACAGCUCCAGAUGACGCUCCAAGAUGCGGCAGAGUUUGGGAGCGGGAUCGCCAUGGACCAUCCAGGGUCGCGUCACUAGGCCAGUGAGGAAAGGCUUGAGGUCCAGCAGGAGCUGAUCGAUCACCAUUCGACAGGCUCGUCUCACUGUUCGCUCCAAAGCUGCCAGCGGGUUGGAAGGCGUCCGAGUGAACUGUCCUAAUUCCCGGGAUGACUGCUGCUGCUGCAGGCUCUCUGUGCCCUGUCUGUAUCAAAUGUGAAGGCAAUGGUUAAAAAGGCACUUUUUUAAAGGAAUUGUGUCCAUCAUCUGCAAUCCUUAUGUGUGACAUGUGCCUUCUAAAUAGUCGCCUCGUGCAGCUAAUGGGGAUUUAUCUAUUUCACCUAUAAAGCACUCUCCAAAACAUCCAACGCCAACAAUGCUUUGUUUACAUGCUGUGACCUGCAUAUUAACCAAGCUAUAGUUAUAGUUAUUAUAGGAGCAAACACAGAGGAACUACUUUUCUGGCGUAGUGACACAGCGCCUUGUUCACAGUGCCUCAGGCUACUAGUGAGAAGUAAGCUAGCUACGAGAGUUGCUUCUACCGCUGAAUCACCUCUGAGUUAAUGCCCGGUUAUAAAUCCUGCCUCACGCCUGUAAAGUAGAAGGUUGUGUCAAUAAACCGGGAAGUUGGUCAACUUUGAAAUUACACACACCAAUGAAAAAAUUUGAAGUAGUGGAUACUUGUUUUCAAGUUAGACCCGACGUCAUUGCUAGGAAGACUAGGCAAGAUGCAAAUAUGUUCUCAGAAUUUUCAAUCUGAGUAUUAUUCUGAAUAAAGCAUCUCAACCGUGAGCACAAGUCUUGUGUUGAAAGCUACAACCAUCCCAUCAGUCGGCAGCCCAGGGAUAGCUGACAUUUGUAUUCACUGUUUAGUUAAGUUCCCACUUUGUCAAUAAAAUGUUUAGCAAUAGUGCUACAUGAUACCGACAAAAAUGGCUUGGUGUUUCACGAUGGCCGGGUCAUUUGUCCCAAAGUAGUCGUCAUGACGUCUGCCAUGAUUAGGUUGUUGUUGACUGAAGUAGCGUUUGUUGCUAUGUGCUCUGUGAAAUCAAUUCGCCCAGGAAAUAUGUAGCGGUAAUGUUUAAAAUGAGCAAAGUACUGUAAAUAUUAAAUAUUACAUGAAUAUGCUUGUUACUACAUUGUUACACCAUGUACUGUAUAUAAAACUUUGUUGGAGGUUUUUUUUUAAAUGUUUUUAGAGAGCUUUAUAAUUAAACUAGAUCAAAUUCCAACUACCUAUUUUGUUAGCCGCCUCAUGCUAGAUGUUUUUUCUUACUAUCUAUAGCGCACAGAAAAGGGAAAGACAUGAGUGUUCUUGUCUCACAUAAGGAUUGUGGAUGAUGGACAAAAUUCCGAAAGAUAGUUAAGUUUACCUUUAAAGGAGCCAUAUGUAAGAUUUUCAUGUCAAGUCAUCAUUAAAUGGCCCUGAUACAGUAUGUCAAAAGGCAUAAAUCAUGUUCUUUUUGAAUACCUCUAUAACUGAUAACAGUAGUUCAGCCGGGAUAUGCUCAUUUCAAAAUUACUUUUACAGCCCCAGUUAUUGUUUUCAUUUCGAUGCCCCGCCCUCCACUGUUUGACCAAUUAGAAAGUCUGUGAGGUUGUUACAUCCAGGUUGCCAGUUACGCACCGCCAUCUUUAUCGAGCUACUGCCACUGGUAAAGUUACUAAACAUGUCAGACUUUGGUAAAUCUAAAAGUCGUCUUUACGAUUCUCAACUCACUCAUGACAAAGCCAGGAACAAAACGAAGGGACGGCGUGGCGCAGUGGAAGAGUGGCCGUGUGCAACCCGAGGGUCCCUGGUUCAAUCCCCACCUAGAACCAACCUCGUCAUGUCCGUUGUGUCCUGAGCAAGACACUUCACCCUUGCUCCUGAUGGGUGCUGGUUAGCGCCUUGCAUGGCAGCUCCCUCCAUCAGUGUGUGAAUGUGUGUGUGAAUGGGUAAAUGUGGAAGUAGUGUCAAAGCGUUUUGAGUACCUUGAAGGUAGAAAAGCGCUAUACAAGUACAACCCAUUUAUCAUUUAUUUAUCAUUUAUUUGUAUCGGGGAUGCCUUUGAAAGACGGAGACGAUUGAAGACGCCAAACUUGCAAAGUUCCUCCUUGAUAGGUAAGUGAGGCAUUUACAUUUUGUUAUUACUUGUAAUAAAUGGAAAUAUACAUUUGGUAUGUAAACUAUAUUGUUCAAUACAGUCUAUGAUCUUGUCUAACAAAGCUAGUAUGUUUGUGCAAGGAAUGAUUAGAAUGCUAGCCCGGUCAACGAUACAUCGACUUAUAGGCUAACAGGGGAAAUAUAUGCCUGUUAGCCUCUAUGUCCAUGUGUCAUCCAACUGACUGGGCAAAAUAUCUUUUCGACAAAUCUAUGUGAACAUGGUUAGUGUCAGUGCCUAUUUCGUUCUCAAUAUGCUGAUACACUGAGGAAAUGGGUUCCAACAUUAGCACGGCUGUCAUGGCAAUGUGAAACAUAUGGAGACAGCCAAAACACAUGCAUAUUGUGGACUACAUGUACCAAGUUAUAUGGCAAUUUGAAACGUUUGAAACAGUAGCCUAUAGGCAUACCUUGGUAAAAUGUAUCCUCUUUAGUUUUGGGAGGACAUUAGGCUGCUAAGCAUGCUCUACUUCUUUUCCCGUCUUUAUCCUUUGUUUUCUGAUAGUACUGACAAGAACCAUUUGUUGUGAUAUUGUACGCAGGCAUGACGUACUUCUUCCUGAAAAUAGCCUAAUUUCUGUGUAAAAUGUGUUGGUUAUAUCGAGCUGAAUUUGGCUGCGUAUCUGGCAACCUCAGUCAGGGAGAGGGGGAGGGGACUACAGAAUUUCUGGCCAGAUUCCUACAUAUGGCUCCUUUAAAUAUGGACUAAAUAAAUGCGUGGCACAUUUCUUAUCAUGUGAGCUCCGUUUUUCCGUCAGUACACAAACGCUGAAGCUGAAGUUUUUGAAAAUCUUCUCCCGGGCUGGAGUGUUCCCGAAAGCUCAGUUUU